CAGAAUUCUUCAUUGUUCGGGCCGAGAGCUCGCCGUUCUGUUGAUCCCGACUGAUCCAAAGAAACAAAACUGCAUUGUUCCUCGCAGAUGGAAGCGAGUGUCGCCAAGAACGGCUGAUAAGGUGGACGGAGACUUGGCUAUCGGAAGAACCGACCGCUCGCUUUUACGGUCAGUGCUUUGCUAUCGUCGUAAAUGAACCACGAUAGACGGGGGGAAAAAAAACCAUCCGUGUGCCAAAACACAGAUUACGCCGGCUGUCGCGCUGUGUACAAAAUUUUUCACAAAUAAACAACACGACAAAUAACUCGAGACACAAGCGGCUCGUCCUCGGUGUUUACGGAGAACCCGGGAUCGUGGAUGCGAGGUCUUGGGAGGUCUGAAGGAUCUGAGUUUGCAUAAGCGCGUAUUAAACAGCAUGAAGGAUGAAUCAAUCCGGCGUUUGAAGUCUCCUCGCCAUCAUUAAGCCGACCCGCAUUCAUUAAAACACAUAUAUUCCACUCAAAGGCGCCGCGAUUGUCUUCGUUCUUUUCGUGUCGUACCUUAUUAGGAAGUUUUCCCUCACAUUCAGAGAUGAAAUGGCGGCGAGAUAAACAAGACCGCGGUAAGCUCGUGUGUCAUUAUUCUCAGGUGAGUAGCUAAUGAGGUAAAAAGGUUAGCGUAUUUAAACUUCCGUGCUUGGAUUAUUUGGUAUCAGGUUGUUGUUGUUUAUUUAUUUAUUUAUUUGAUUUUUAAAAAGAUGUUUACUUGUGUUGAUCCGCGAAACCGGUUUGUGAAAACAAUGAGGCCUAAUUAAAGAGCGGGAGCGUCGCCGUUGUGACAAAGCCACGCCGUGUAGUAAGACAAUUCAGCGGCGUGGCGUUUGGAGAAAUAAAUAAAUAACGUGUUAAAUUCACUUCAUUAUUCUCUCACAAAAGGUUUGUGACUCUGUUCAGUGAGCUAUAGUUCACGCUGUGUUGUAAUUAAUGUUGCUAGAAUAUCCGAAAUAUACAAAAUAAUUAGUGUUGGUUCAGUGAAGUGGGGGUUUUUUUUGUUUGGUUUUUUUUUUUUGGAAAAAGGCGCAGGGUGCAUUGUUUCAGGAAAAUAAUCAACAACAGCAUCAGUGAAUUAUCUUCCUAUAACAGCAUGUCGCAAAGUGUUUUAUUCCUCUUAUAUCACGGCAAUUUGCCAAUGAUGACAAUUGUGUUGUAUGUUCUAUGUAUUUACGCCAAUAUUAUGUGUUAUUUUAUUUAUUGAAGAACGACGUAAGACAUUUGUGUCUUUAUAGUUACGUUUAAUAAUGUGGAGAAUCUGUGAUAAAGUUCCCUCACGAGUCGUUCUCUUUUCGCUCUGUUAAAGUUAAUACUAUACCUGUACUUUGUGUACUUUGUUUAUACGUUGUGUACUACACUACUCUUGUACUUUGUGUACUUUGUUUGUACUUUGUGUACUACACUACUCUUAUACUUUGUGUACUUUGUUUACACUUUGUGUACUACACUACUCUUAUACUUUGUGUACUUUGUUUAUACUUUGUGUACUACACUACUCUUACACUUUGUGUACUACGUCUAUAUUUUGUGUACUACACUACUCUUAUACUUUGUGUACUACGUCUAUAUUUUGUGUACUACACUACUCUUAUACUUUGUGUACUACGUCUAUAUUUUGUGUACUACACUACUCAUAAUUAGUGUACUACGUCUAUGUUUUGUGUCGUACACUACUCUUACACUUUGUGUAAUAUGUUUAUGCUUUGUGUACUACACUACUCAUACUUUGUGUACUAU
ensembl:lncRNA